ACUCAAAUGAAUUGACGGGGACCCGCACAAGCAGCGGAGCGUGUGGUUUAAUUCGAUGCAACGCGAAGAACCUUACCAGGACUUGACAUGCAACUGCACCGCUCGUAAUGGAGCGUCCCUUCGGGGCGAUUGCACAGGUGCUGCAUGGCUGUCGUCAGCUCGUGUCGUGAGAUGUUGGGUUCAGUCCCGCAACGAGCGCAACCCCUGCCGCUAGUUACUCUGUCUAGCGGGACCGCCGCGAUCAACGCGGAGGAAGGCGGGGAUGACGUCAAGUCAGCACGGCCCUUACGUCCUGGGCUACACACACGCUACAAUGGUCGGUACAACGGGCCGCCAACCCGCAAGGGGGAGCCAAUCCCAACAAAACCGGCCUCAGUUCAGAUUGUAGGCUGAAACCCGCCUGCAUGAAGGAGGAGUUGCUAGUAACCGUGGGUCAGCACACUACGGUGAAUACGUUCCCGGGUCUUGCACACACCGCCCGU
rnacentral:rRNA from 1 species